rnacentral:rRNA from 1 species
UACGAAGGGAGCUAGCGUUGUUCGGAAUCACUGGGCGUAAAGCGCACGUAGGCGGAUGUGUCAGUCAGGGGUGAAAUCCCGGAGCUCAACUUCGGAACUGCCUCUGAUACAGCACGUCUUGAGUCCGAUAGAGGUGGGUGGAAUUCCUGGUGUAGCGGUGAAAUGCGCAGAUAUCAGGAGGAACACCGGUGGCGAAGGCGGUCGACUGGGCCAGUACUGACGCUGAGGCGCGACAGCGUGGGGGAGCAAACAGG